rnacentral:rRNA from 1 species
GGGUCAGGAGGUUGGUCGUGCCACCGGUACGUACUGGACUCACUGAUUCCUCCUUCCUGAAGAACCGUAAUGCCAUUAAUUUGGUGUUGCGGGGAAACAGGACCGUUACUUUGAAAAAAUUAGAGUGUUUAAAGCAAGCUAACGCUUGAAUACAUUAGCAUGGAAUAAUGAAAUAGGACGAUCGAUCCUAUUUUGUUGGUUUCUAGGAUUGACGUA